AAUUCUGGCCAUACCACCUUGAGAAUACUGAUCUCAUCUGAACUCAGAAGAUAAGCAGGGCUGGGCCUGGUAAGUACUUUGAUGUGAGAGAUCUGUGAAUACCAGAAGCUGUAGUCU
rnacentral:rRNA from 1 species